GAUGAACGCUGGCGGCGUGCCUAAUACAUGCAAGUCGAGCGAAUGGAUUAAGAGCUUGCUCUUAUGAAGUUAGCGGCGGACGGGUGAGUAACACGUGGGUAACCUGCACAUAAGACUGGGAUAACUCCGGGAAACCGGGGCUAAUACCGGAUAACAUUUUGAACCGCAUGGUUCGAAAUUGAAAGGCGGCUUCGGCUGUCACUUAUGGAUGGACUCGCGUCGCAUUAGCUAGUUGGUGAGGUAACGGCUCACGAAGGCAACGAUGCGUAGUCGACCUGAGAGGGUGAUCGGCCACACUGGGAAUGAGACACGGCCCAGACUCCUACGGGAGGCAGCAGUAGGGAAUCUUCCGCAAUGGACGAAAGUCUGACGGAGCAACGCCGCGUGAGUGAUGAAGGCUUUCGGGUCGUAAAACUCUGUUGUUAGGGAAGAACAAGUGCUAGUUGAAUAAGCUGGCACCUUGACGGUACCUAACCAGAAAGCCACGGCUAACUACGUGCCAGCCGCCGCAGUAA
rnacentral:rRNA from 1 species